AGUGAACGCUGGCGGUAGGCCUAACACAUGCAAGUCGAACGGCAGCACAGUAAGAGCUUGCUCUUACGGGUGGCGAGUGGCGGACGGGUGAGGAAUACAUCGGAAUCUACUUUUUCGUGGGGGAUAACGUAGGGAAACUAAGCCAAAAACCGAUAAGAACUACGGGGGAAAGCAGGGGAUCCUCGGAACUUGCGCGAAUGAAUGAGGCGAUUGCGGAUUAGCUAGUUGGCGGGGUAAAGGCCCACCAAGGGGACGAUCCGUAGCUGGGCUGGGAGGAUGAUCAGCCACACUGGAACUGAGACACGGUCCAGACUCCUACGGGAGGCAGCAGUGGGGAAUAUUGGACAAUGGGCGCAAGCCUGAUCCAGCCAUACCGCGUGGGUGAAGAAGGCCUUCGGGUUGUAAAGCCCUUUUGUUGGGAAAGAAAAGCAGCAGGUUAAUACCCCGCUGUUCUGACGGUACCCAAAGAAUAAGCACCGGCUAACUUCGUG
rnacentral:rRNA from 1 species